rnacentral:rRNA from 1 species
UUAAGCGACUAAGCGUACACGGUGGAUGCCCUGGCAGUCAGAGGCGAUGAAGGACGUGCUAAUCUGCGAAAAGCGUCGGUAAGGUGAUAUGAACCGUUACAGCCGGCGAUGUCCGAAUGGGGAAACCCAGUGCAAUUCGUUGCACUAUCGUUAACUGAAUACAUAGGUUAACGAGGCGAACCGGGGGAACUGAAACAUCUAAGUACCCCGAGGAAAAGAAAUCAACCGAGAUUCCCCCAGUAGCGGCGAGCGAACGGGGAGCAGCCCAGAGUCUGAAUCAGCUUGUGUGUUAGUGGAACGGUCUGGAAAGUCCGACGGUACAGGGUGAUAGUCCCGUACACCAAAAUGCACAGGCUGUGAACUCGAAGAGUAGGGCGGGACACGUGGUAUCCUGUCUGAAUAUGGGGACCAUCCUCCAAGGCUAAAUACUCCUGACUGACCGAUAGUGAACCAGUACCGUGAGGGAAAGGCGAAAAGAACCCCGGCGAGGGGAGUGAAAAAGAACCUGAAACCGUGUACGUACAAGCAGUGGGAGCACCUUCGGGUGUGACUGCGUACCUUUUGUAUAAUGGGUCAGCGACUUAUAUUCUGUAGCAAGGUUAACCGUAUAGGGGAGCCGCAGGGAAACCGAGUCUUAACUGGGCGUUAAGUUGCAGGGUAUAGACCCGAAACCCGGUGAUCUAGCCAUGGGCAGGUUGAAGGUUGGGUAACACUAACUGGAGGACCGAACCGACUAAUGUUGAAAAAUUAGCGGAUGACUUGUGGCUGGGGGUGAAAGGCCAAUCAAACCGGGAGAUAGCUGGUUCUCCCCGAAAGCUAUUUAGGUAGCGCCUCGUGAACUCAUCUUCGGGGGUAGAGCACUGUUUCGGCUAGGGGGUCAUCCCGACUUACCAACCCGAUGCAAACUACGAAUACCGAAGAAUGUUAUCACGGGAGACACACGGCGGGUGCUAACGUCCGUCGUGAAGAGGGAAACAACCCAGACCGCCAGCUAAGGUCCCAAAGUCAUGGUUAAGUGGGAAACGAUGUGGGAAGGCACAGACAGCCAGGAUGUUGGCUUAGAAGCAGCCAUCAUUUAAAGAAAGCGUAAUAGCUCACUGGUCGAGUCGGCCUGCGCGGAAGAUGUAACGGGGCUAAACCAUGCACCGAAGCUGCGGCAGCGACACUAUGUGUUGUUGGGUAGGGGAGCGUUCUGUAAGCCUGCGAAGGUGUGCUGUGAGGCAUGCUGGAGGUAUCAGAAGUGCGAAUGCUGACAUAAGUAACGAUAAAGCGGGUGAAAAGCCCGCUCGCCGGAAGACCAAGGGUUCCUGUCCAACGUUAAUCGGGGCAGGGUGAGUCGACCCCUAAGGCGAGGCCGAAAGGCGUAGUCGAUGGGAAACAGGUUAAUAUUCCUGUACUUGGUGUUACUGCGAAGGGGGGACGGAGAAGGCUAUGUUAGCCGGGCGACGGUUGUCCCGGUUUAAGCAUGUAGGCUGAUUGUCCAGGCAAAUCCGGAUAAUCAAGGCUGAGGUGUGAUGACGAGGCACUACGGUGCUGAAGUAACAAAUGCCCUGCUUCCAGGAAAAGCCUCUAAGCAUCAGGUAACAUCAAAUCGUACCCCAAACCGACACAGGUGGUCAGGUAGAGAAUACCAAGGCGCUUGAGAGAACUCGGGUGAAGGAACUAGGCAAAAUGGUGCCGUAACUUCGGGAGAAGGCACGCUGGUGUGUAGGUGAAGUCCCUGCGGAUGGAGCUGAGACCAGUCGAAGAUACCAGCUGGCUGCAACUGUUUAUUAAAAACACAGCACUGUGCAAACACGAAAGUGGACGUAUACGGUGUGACGCCUGCCCGGUGCCGGAAGGUUAAUUGAUGGGGUUAUCCGUAAGGAGAAGCUCUUGAUCGAAGCCCCGGUAAACGGCGGCCGUAACUAUAACGGUCCUAAGGUAGCGAAAUUCCUUGUCGGGUAAGUUCCGACCUGCACGAAUGGCGUAAUGAUGGCCAGGCUGUCUCCACCCGAGACUCAGUGAAAUUGAACUCGCUGUGAAGAUGCAGUGUACCCGCGGCAAGACGGAAAGACCCCGUGAACCUUUACUAUAGCUUGACACUGAACAUUGAGCCUUGAUGUGUAGGAUAGGUGGGAGGCUUUGAAGCGUGGACGCCAGUCUGCGUGGAGCCAACCUUGAAAUACCACCCUUUAAUGUUUGAUGUUCUAACGUUGGCCCCUGACCGGGGUUGCGGACAGUGUCUGGUGGGUAGUUUGACUGGGGCGGUCUCCUCCCAAAGCGUAACGGAGGAGCACGAAGGUUAGCUAAUCGGUCGGACAUCAGGAGGUUAGUGCAAUGGCAUAAGCUAGCUUGACUGCGAGCGUGACGGCGCGAGCAGGUGCGAAAGCAGGUCAUAGUGAUCCGGUGGUUCUGAAUGGAAGGGCCAUCGCUCAACGGAUAAAAGGUACUCCGGGGAUAACAGGCUGAUACCGCCCAAGAGUUCAUAUCGACGGCGGUGUUUGGCACCUCGAUGUCGGCUCAUCACAUCCUGGGGCUGAAGUAGGUCCCAAGGGUAUGGCUGUUCGCCAUUUAAAGUGGUACGCGAGCUGGGUUUAGAACGUCGUGAGACAGUUCGGUCCCUAUCUGCCGUGGGCGCUGGAGAAUUGAGGGGGGCUGCUCCUAGUACGAGAGGACCGGAGUGGACGCAUCACUGGUGUUCGGGUUGUCAUGCCAAUGGCACUGCCCGGUAGCUAAAUGCGGAAGAGAUAAGUGCUGAAAGCAUCUAAGCACGAAACUUGCCCCGAGAUGAGUUCUCCCUGAGACUAUAAGUCUCCUGAAGGAACGUUGAAGACGACGACGUUGAUAGGCCGGGUGUGUAAGCGCAGCGAUGCGUUGAGCUAACCGGUACUAAUGAACCGUGAGGCUUAACCU